rnacentral:rRNA from 1 species
UACCAGCUCUCCGAGUUGUGGGGACGUUUAUUGAGCCUGAAGCAUCCGUAGCCGGCUGUGCAAGUCUUCUGUUAAAUCCAGCGACUAAUCGUUGGCCUGCGGGAGAUACUGCUCGGCUAGGGGGCGGGAGAGGCCGUCGGUAUUCUUGGGGUAGGGGUGAAAUCCUAUAAUCCCAGGAGGACCACCAGUGGCGAAGGCUGUCGGCUAGAACGCGCCCGACGGUGAGGGAUGAAAGCUGGGGGAGC